rnacentral:rRNA from 1 species
GACAACGCUGGCGGCGUGCUUAACACAUGCAAGUCGAACGGUGACGAGGAGCUUGCUCCUCUGAUCAGUGGCGAACGGGUGAGUAACACGUGAGUAACCUGCCCCCAGACUCUGGGAUAACAGUUGGAAACAGCUGCUAAUACCGGAUACGAGACGGAGAGGCAUCUCUACCGUCUGGAAAGUUUUUCGGUCUGGGAUGGGCUCGCGGCCUAUCAGCUUGUUGGUGAGGUAAUGGCUCACCAAGGCGACGACGGGUAGCCGGCCUGAGAGGGCGACCGGCCACACUGGGACUGAGACACGGCCCAGACUCCUACGGGAGGCAGCAGUGGGGAAUAUUGCACAAUGGGCGAAAGCCUGAUGCAGCGACGCCGCGUGAGGGAUGACGGCCUUCGGGUUGUAAACCUCUUUCAGCAGGGAAGAAGCGAAAGUGACGGUACCUGCAGAAGAAGCACCGGCUAACUACGUG